ensembl:misc_RNA Y_RNA Y RNA
GGCUGGUCCAAAGAUAGUGAGUUAUCUCAAUUGAUUGUUCACAGUUACAGAUUGAACUCAUUCUACUCUUUCUCCCUUUUCACUACUGCACUUGACUAGUCUUAA